rnacentral:lncRNA from 1 species
GUUUGUGAAUACGAUAUCGAAAUGGAGAGAUACAAAUGUCUGAAGUGGCACUGCUCAAGCUGCCAAGCAGGCAGCUUACCUACGUGCUUGGAGAAUUGAGGCGGUGGUCCUAUAAGUUGUAUUUAUCCCUUAUAUUUCGUCAAUAUCCAAAGAUCAAUUACUGAAAAACACUCUCAAACUCUUCAACAACAACCAAGGUUCCAAGAACUAAACUCAAUAGAAAUCAACACAAAUCAUCAUCGUUCAUAUAUCUUUCAGGAGCAGUCGUGUGGUUUUCCCAGAGAUCGCCGUGAGUUCUUUGCCAAAUUAGGUGGAGUGGGGAAGAUUAGAACUAUUUUCAUCUUGAAUCUAGCACCCUCACAAGGUACUAUUCCUCAUAAAAGAAUUUUACGAAAGCUGGCACCCUUGGUGCGUGAUAGCUACGUAAUAUCCUUAGUUUCAUCCUUUUUAAAGAUACCAGUUUAUGACCAAAAUGGAAUUAAUUGUUCUAUUACGGAAGUAGGGAUCCCACACGCUGGGUUAAUCACUAAGGUCUUAUACAAUUUUAUGUUGGAUGAUUGGUGGGGAAUAUUAGAAUUGUUUUCAUCUUGAAUCUAGCACCCUCACAAGGUACUAUUCCUCAUAAAAGAAUUUUACGAAAGAUGGCACCCUUGGUGCGUGAUAGCUACGUAAUAUCCUUAGUUUCAUCCCUUUUAAAGGUGUUAAAGACUUCAAGAGAAUACUUCUAUAAUGUUUUGGUGUGAUUGAGGGUUACUGUGAGCUAAGUUAAAAUGGGGUUUGAGUUGUAGCUGUCGUCCAAGGUAUGUAUAACAUCUUCUUGAUUGUACCAAAGGUUAAUCUUGUGUUUUUUGUGUUGUUUGAGUGAAAAACCAUAACAUGUACUUGAAGGAAUAUAUGAUACGAUUGUCUUUUUGGUUGGACUAUUUUGUGGUUAAAAAUAUGGUUUGUGGUAGUUGAAAAUUGUGAGAAAUACUUUGAUAAUGUUGUAUCUUAUGUUGUUAAGAUUUCCUAUGUGUUAAUUAAGUUGAUUGAAGAAGAAAAGAUGAAAAACAAAUAAUUGACGAUAAAAAUUAAGGUACUAGACGUAUGAGGCUGUUUUGAAAGUCAUUUUGUGGAGGUUUUAAACUAGAAAUAAUAUGGCACAUAUAAGUAUUAUGCUCUAAAUGUUGUAAACUAGUUUAUGGAAUAAGAGUUGGUUUUCAUUUAUAACUUGUUAUGAGUAAAAGAAACGAGCUUGCUGCUCAAUAUGAUUGUUAAGAUAAUCGGAGAAACUCAUAUUGGAUUGUAUUAUUGUUGUUAAUAGUGUUGUUUAUAAUUGUUGUUGUUGGGUUGUUGAUGAACCUUAAUGGUCUUUGAGAUAUGCUAAAAUAGGGGAGUUGCUUCCUGAUUUUUCUUACGUCAUACGACUAGCCAAAUACGAUG